CACGUAGGGCGCAAGCGUUGUCCGGAAUUAUUGGGCGUAAAGAGCUCGUAGGUGGUUUGUUACGUCUUCUAUGAAAACCUAGGGCUUAACCCUGGGCUUGCAGUGGAUACGGGCAGACUAGAGGUAGGUAGGGGAGAAUGGAAUUCCUGGUGUAGCGGUGAAAUGCGCAGAUAUCAGGAGGAACACCGGUGGCGAAGGCGGUUCUCUGGGCCUUACCUGACACUGAGGAGCGAAAGCGUGGGGAGCGAACGGG
rnacentral:rRNA from 1 species